rnacentral:rRNA from 1 species
UACGUAGGUGGCAAGCGUUGUCCGGAUUUACUGGGCGUAAAGAGCGCGCAGGCGGUCGUUCAAGUCGCGUGUGAAAGCCCCCGGCUCAACUGGGGAGGGUCACGCGAUACUGAUCGACUGGAAGGCAGGAGAGGGUAGUGGAAUUCCCGGAUGUAGUGGUGAAAUGCGUAGAUAUCGGGAGGAACACCAGUGGCGAAGGCGACUACCUGGCCUGUUCUUGACGCUGAGGCGCGAAAGCUAGGGGAGCAAACGGG